UACGAAGGGGGCUAGCGUUGCUCGGAAUCACUGGGCGUAAAGCGCACGUAGGCGGCUUUCUAAGUCAGGGGUGAAAUCCUGGAGCUCAACUCCAGAACGGCCUUUGAUACUGGGAAGCUCGAGUCCGGGAGAGGUGAGUGGAACUCCGAGUGUAGAGGUGAAAUUCGUAGAUAUUCGGAGGAACACCAGUGGCGAAGGCGGCUCACUGGUCCGGUACUGACGCUGAGGUGCGAAAGCGUGGGGAGCAAACAGG
rnacentral:rRNA from 1 species